AUCCAGCUGACGAGUGCCGAAUAGGAUGAAACGUGCUUAUUGGAU
rnacentral:hammerhead_ribozyme from 1 species